rnacentral:lncRNA from 1 species
CUUAAUUAACCAGGGGUCCUUUCACAUAGGGGUGCUGCUUUCAUGUAGGGUUGGGUUAUUCAUAUAGUGCCCGUCAAGUACUUUAAUUUUAAUGAGGCUUCAUUUUCUGCAUAAGUCUUGUUCCAGUGUUUCAACAGUGAGGUGGAUGCGUCUUCUAUUCUUGCGGUUUUUCCUCGAUUUCUGUGAAAAGUAUUUCCAUGCAUCUUGCAGUUGGGACCCUGAAUGUUCGUUGAGUAGCUGCUCCUUGUCGUGCCUCUUUGGAAUUUCUACGGCUUCCAUAUUGAGGGCCUGGAGGUAUCACUUGCCAGUUUUGUGAUUCUGGCUUGGUCCCAGUGUAUAGUUGGAUCUGCAUCAUAGGUGCUCUAAUCUGUAGGGCUGAGAUAUAUGCAGUAGAUAAGAAAGACUUAAAAAGUUAUAAUAUACAUAAAAGUAAUACAUAAUAUACGUAAAAGUUAUAAUGUAAUAUACGUAAAAGUAAAAGUUAUAAGAACAAGAAUUUGAAUUCUUGUUCUUAUAACUUUGUAAGCUGAAGAUGGCAG